UACGAAGGGUGCAAGCGUUCCUCGGAAUUACUGGGCGUAAAGCGUGCGUAGGUGGUUUGUUAAGUCUGAUGUGAAAGCCCUGGGCUCAACCUGGGAAUUGCAUUGGAUACUGGCAGGCUAGAGUGCGGUAGAGGAUGGCGGAAUUCCCGGUGUAGCAGUGAAAUGCGUAGAGAUCGGGAGGAACACCGGUGGCGAAGGCGGCAUCCUGGACCGACACUGACGCUGAGGAGCGAAAGCCAGGGGAGCAAACGGG
rnacentral:rRNA from 1 species